CUAUUAUUAGUAGAGGUUGAAAUGAAUUUGAUGUAUUUCAGAAUAAAAAGCAUUACAAUCCAUGAAGAAUAUUCCUACACUAGAGAUAAAAAUAAAACAAGGAGUUAAAAUGUAAAAACUCAAUGGAAAAUCUACUUGAAAGAGUUACUAAGGUUGUGGCUUCUUACCAUCUCACCUGGACUAAUAAUAACGGAGCUUCCCCAGACCAGAAAGUCAAAAGACUCCACACCCAGCAUGGAGCCCAGUAUGGGGCUGGAACUCACAACCCUGAGAUCAAGAUCUGAGCUGAGAUCAAGAGUUGGAUGCUUAACCAACUGAGCCACUCAGGCACCCCCAGGAUAAAAAUUCUUUCACAGAUUUAUGCACUGAAAAGAUUUUAGAUUUUCUUUUGAAAUUCAGUUGUUUGAAUUUAAAAAAAAAAUAAAA
rnacentral:lncRNA from 1 species